ACUCAAAUAGUUUAAUAAAAAUGUUAGCUUGUGGUGCUUAAGAUGUAGUUUAUACUUUGGGUA
rnacentral:tRNA from 1 species